rnacentral:pre_miRNA from 1 species
ACUUAGAGCAUGAUCCAAAGUGCACUGAAGACAAUAGAAGUCCUUCCAUUGACUUCACUGGGCUUUGAAUUAGGCCUUUGUUGU